rnacentral:rRNA from 1 species
GAUGAACGCUGGCGGCGUGCUUAACACAUGCAAGUCGAACGGAAAUUCUCCUGCUUGCGGUUGUACUCGAGUGGCGAACGGGUGAGUAACCCGUUGGUUAUCUGCUCUGCACUUUGGGCUAAGCCUGGGAAACUGGGUCUAAUACCGGUUAUGAUCACACUUUGCAUUGUGUGCUGGAUAGUUUUUCGGUGUGGGAUGGGCUCGCGGCCUAUCAGCUUGUUGGUGGGGUAUUGGUUUACUAAGGGGUCGAGGGGUAGCCGACCUGAGAGGGUGUACGGCCACAUUGGGACUGAGAUACGGCCCAGAAGCCUACGGGAGGCAGCAGUGGAGAGUAUGGCACAAUGGGCGCAAGCCUGAUGCAGCGGCGCCGGGUGGGGGAUGACGGCCUUCGGGUGAUAAACACCGUUCGCUAGGGACGAAGCGCAAGUGACGGUACCUGGAGAAGAAGCAACGGCUAACUACGUG